AACGAACGCUGGCGGCGUGCUUAACACAUGCAAGUCGAACGCGAAAGGGACUUCGGUCCUGAGUAAAGUGGCGCACGGGUGAGUAACGCGUGGAUAAUCUACCCAAUGAUCUGGGAUAACAUUUCGAAAGGGGUGCUAAUACCGGAUAAGACCACGGGAUCUCUGGAUUCUGCGGUAAAAGGUGGGGACCUUCGGGCCUACCGUCAUCGGAUGAGUCCGCGUACCAUUAGCUAGUUGGUGGGGUAACGGCCCACCAAGGCUAGGACGGUUAGCUGGUCUGAGAGGACGACCAGCCACACUGGAACUGAGACACGGUCCAGACUCCUACGGGUGGCAG
rnacentral:rRNA from 1 species